rnacentral:rRNA from 1 species
AGAGUUUGAUCAUGGCUCAGGAUGAACGCUGGCGGCGUGCUUAACACAUGCAAGUCGAACGGGGAUACGCGCUGAGGAAGCUUGGCGGAUUCUUGCGUAUCUUAGUGGCGGACGGGUGAGUAACGCGUGGGUAACCUGCCUUGUACUGGGGGAUAACAGUUGGAAACGACUGCUAAUACCGCAUAAGCGCCCGGUAUCGCAUGAUACAGAGUGAAAAACUGGUGGUACAAGAUGGAUCCGCGUCUGAUUAGCUGGUUGGUGGGGUAACGGCCCACCAAGGCGACGAUCAGUAGCCGGCCUGAGAGGGUGAACGGCCACAUUGGGACUGAGACACGGCCCAAACUCCUACGGGAGGUAGCAGUGGGGAAUAUUGCACAAUGGGGGAAACCCUGAUGCAGCGACGCCGCGUGAGUGAAGAAGUAUUUCGGUAUGUAAAGCUCUAUCAGCAGGGAAGAAAAUGACGGUACCUGACUAAGAAGCCCCGGCUAACUACGUGCCAGCAGCCGCGGUAAUACGUAGGGGGCAAGCGUUAUCCGGAUUUACUGGGUGUAAAGGGAGCGUAGACGGUAUGGCAAGUCUGAAGUGAAAACCCGAGGCUCAACCCCGGGACUGCUUUGGAAACUGUCAAACUGGAGUGCAGGAGAGGUAAGUGGAAUUCCUAGUGUAGCGGUGAAAUGCGUAGAUAUUAGGAGGAACACCAGUGGCGAAGGCGGCUUACUGGACUGUAACUGACGUUGAGGCUCGAAAGCGUGGGGAGCAAACAGGAUUAGAUACCCUGGUAGUCCACGCCGUAAACGAUG